GCCGCGCACAUUAUUCAUCUAAAUAGAACCUGAAUGUUUUAGGCUGAAAUUCUUAAUCCUGAAUCCGCCAGCCAUACGUCCACACUUACAACUACGACGAAUAGCGCCCAUGGAUAAGAUAUCUUUCUACAAACGAGAAGUAUUGACACAAGCACCAGAUUAUAUAGAUCCAGUACCACAUCAUAAUACAUUACACAUGCACGAACUAAUAUGCAGUUUUAUUAUUCAAAAUACAACAGCAGGAACUUGUAAGGGAAAAUUAAACACUCUCUUUACAAAUAACAGCAGAGAUUAUGCAGAUUUAGCAACAUGGAAACCCUAGCAACUCGGAACGAACACACCCAAACCCUAGCAACAGCGGAGAUUCAACCACUAUACUUAUAUAGUCGCACAUGCACUAGAUUGAAACUCAGAACAAACAACACCCAAAACCCUACGUGGAAACCCUAGACAGUUUCUUUUUUCCUUCCAGCCAUGGCUAAACCGUCCACAGAAAAC
rnacentral:lncRNA from 1 species